ACCAACCCUUCAGACUCGAGUUUCUGGUGGCUGCACUGAUGCUUCAUCUCCUGCCAUGUGCAAAACUGCUGGGCACAGCACUCAAUUCUGCAGACAGUGGAGCCAAGUGGGCUGUGCACAGUGGCAGUAUAAACAGCAGCUCUACAGGUGGUCUUCUUUAAACAAUCUGCUGAAAGCAUGUUUGGCCUGUCCAUCAGUCCACAGUCAACUGAAGUCAUUUUUAAGAAUUUCCAACUCUAGGGAGAAUAAAUCACACAAGUUCUACCCACUGUAAAGACGACUGUGAGAUUUGAGAGGUACUGGAGAUGAAAGCACUUCCAAUGUGUGAGGAGUUAAAAAAUGUUACUCAUCUUAUGAUAAAAAUAGCCAUAAUGAUGAAGAUGUUGGUAACUGCUCUAAUUGGUUUUCUUUUUGUUUUAUCUCACGCAGACGAUAUGCAAUUAAAGCUCUUAUUAAAUC